CUGUGCUGGAAAGAUCCAUGAAUCUUGCCUCAUCAAUCUACCUAAUUUUGUUGUUCCAGUAUAUUCAAACUGUACUUCAAGCAGCAGUGGUCUUUGCCAGCCUUAGGGCUACUCUGUCUUCAGUUAGCAAGGCAAUUGUGUGGAUCAGGGUUGUCCACACUAGGCAAAAGAGGCCAAGAUGGAGCAUAUAACCAAGUGGCCUCCUAAUUGGGCACUGAAUGAGGGCAACCAUACCAUGGGAAGAGCCGCCUCUGCAGGAAUAAUUCAACUCGUGCUUCAUCCAAGUGGAAGGUGGACCUGGAUAUAUCUGCAUCAUUCCCAGUUUGUUCUUCUCUAAUUUACAAAUCAGGUGAUGGUAUAACCCGAGCAUUUUCAACAGAAGAGUUGAAGAAAUUGGCAAUGGUUAGCUCUGAAAAUAGAAGACGUCAAUAGCCAUCAUCAAAACUA